GCCCAUGGGCGCCCCGGGUCCAGGGCCCGCGGAGCCGCUCUCGGGGCGGAGACCUUGCCCCCAGGGGCACGUCAGCGGUCCUGAGGUGAGGCUCCUGCAGAGCACUCUGGGCCGCGUGUGUCUCUCCCUGCGUGGGCAGGCAGUGUCGGUGGCCGGAGCGAGGGUGUUUUCCCAUCGGGGUGAGAGGGAGAGCCCCAGGGUGGGCCUGGGGCGGAAUCGGACUCGGGGUUGGGGUGGACUCUUCUGAAGCUGGGAGGGGUGCGGGUGGGCAGGGCCUUAGGGAGCCUGAGGGAGGUGCGGUUCCUGGGGGAAGGGUGUGGCGCCCCAGCGAAGGGGCAGUGCUGGCCACUCCGUGUGGCGCUUGGCUGCUGGCACCCAGUGAGAGGGGGAGGCCAGGGACAGGUGGCAGCCAGGCUGCCCACAGGCCCUGGGCGGUGGGGGCCGGCCCUGUGCCUUGGGCAACUGGGCCCCUUGCUGAGGCGUGCUUGCGCGUGUCCGUUGUCGCCCUCACCCAGCUGCUGCGGCGGAGAAACGGAGGCCAGCGCGGGGAGCGGAAGCCGGAGCCUGUCGGGAGCGACCCCGGGAAGGCCAGUCCCUCCUGCCGGUGGGAGGCGUGUUGGCGUGCGGCCGGUGGCGGGAUCGAUGGCCACCUGGUAGGCGAUGCUGCUGCGGCGGAGAAACGGAGGCCAGCGCGGGGAGCGGAAGCCGGAGCCUGUCGGGAGCGACCCCGGGAAGGCCAGUCCCUCCUGCCGGUGGGAGGCGGGUUGGCGAGCGGCCGGUGGCGGGAUCGAUGGCCACCUGGUAGGCGAUGGUAAGCGGCAGUGGCCUGCGCCAAGGUAGCCCCCGGGGGGCGGUGUGUGGCGCCCGGACCCGCACCCUCUGCUCCCGGGGGUGGAGCUGACCUGCUUGCCCGCGGUUGGGCUCGGGAGCCUGCGGGCCGCGGCCAGGAGGGAGCUGGCUGGCCGUCCCGGCGGUGGGGGCUGUGGCGGUGGCCGUCCCGCGGGUGUGCCCGUGCUCGGAUCGAUGAUGACACCCACAAACGCAUUCCUUGGAAAAUCUGAACAAAAUGAGUGAGAACUCACUACCGUCUCCUCAUCGCAAACUGAGGUCCGGCACGUGGCUCCCACAGGGGCCGUCGGGGGAGGGUCCCGUUGCCUUGGCUCCCUUGGGUGCGUGCAGCCCUGGGGCGCAGGUGGGGGCAGGCAGGCCUCCGGU
rnacentral:lncRNA from 1 species